AUUGACCGCUGGCGGCAGGCCAAACACAUGCAAGUAGAGCGGAGCGGCGGACGGGUGAGUAAUGCCUAGGAAUCUGCCUGGUCGUGGGGGAUAACGUACGGAAACGGGCGCUAAUACCGCAUACUAUCAGAUGAGACUAUGUCGUAUUAGCUAGUUGGUGGGGUAAAGGCUUACCAAGGCGAAGAUCCGUAACUGGUAUGAGAGGUUGAUCAGUCAAACUGGAACUGAGACACGGUCCAGACUCCUAGGGGAGGCAGCAGUGGGGAAUAUUGGACAAUGGGCGAAAGCCUGAUCCAGCCAUGCCGCGUGUGUGAAUAAGGUCUUCGGAUUGUAAAGCACUUUAAGUUGGGAGGCGUUACCAACAGAAUAAGCACCGGCUAACUUCGUGCCAGCAGCCGCGGUAAUAC
rnacentral:rRNA from 1 species